GGGGGCGUCAAGGUUUCGACUGUAAGUUGAAAGCCGUGCUCGCAUGUCGAGGAUGACUCGUUGGCCUCGUUAAAAAUCGAGUUCAAAGAAUAACUGCUAAUACCAGUAGACAAACAGCUUGCUUGGAGAGAUCCGAGUUGGCUCUUGCGUUCUAAUUAACGCAACGUCUUUUUCCUGACGCCCGCUAGGGAAAAAAGGCGACGACAGCGGACUGGCUGAUCUGCGGAGCGACCGCGUAGACAGUAAGAAAAUUUUGUGGACGCUUGGGAAGCAGUAGCGCGGCGGUUCGCAGCAUGCUUCCGACAAUAAAAACCGCAUAAACAUGUAGAAGGUAAGGUGGACGCUUUUCAGGACACGGGUUCGAUUCCCGUCGCCUCCACUG
rnacentral:tmRNA from 1 species